CAAAUAAAAAAAAACAGUUCAAUUCUUUAAAAUAAAAUUUCGUUCUUUUAUCACUUAGAAUUAGACCAUGCAUGGAGGGUGAAGCAUUCUAGAGAGACAAAAAUUAAUGUGUGUGGGAGGCUACAGGCAAGGGGAAGAAAGCAGGUCCUUUCAUUAAUAUAUGCCCUUUGCCUAGAAUAAUACUCUAUGAGGAGAGUGACAUUCUAAAAGAAAAGAAUAGUGUGGACAAGGGGGAUACUGCACACGGAAGAGAUUGUGCUUUUUUUAGGAGGCUUUAAGGUACCUAAGUAGAAGACCUACACUAACCUUCAAAAUUGACAGAAUUCAAGAAAUUCAGUUCUACGGGUAUCAUCAGAUAAAGAUGAAAGAAAAAAGAAACCAAAUACGAGGAGAAGAGGAAGGAAACGAAAGCAAAUUGAUGAUAUUCCAAAAAUAAAGUUGAUUGCAGAA